GACGAACGCUGGCGGCGUGCUUAACACAUGCAAGUCGAACGGAAAGGCCCUGCUUUUGUGGGGUGCUCGAGUGGCGAACGGGUGAGUAACACGUGAGUAACCUGCCCUUGACUUUGGGAUAACUUCAGGAAACUGGGGCUAAUACCGGAUAGGAGCUCCUGCUGCAUGGUGGGGGUUGGAAAGUUUCGGCGGUUGGGGAUGGACUCGCGGCUUAUCAGCUUGUUGGUGGGGUAGUGGCUUACCAAGGCUUUGACGGGUAGCCGGCCUGAGAGGGAGACCGGCCACAUUGGGACUGAGAUACGGCCCAGACUCCUACGGGAGGCAGCAGUGGGGAAUAUUGCACAAUGGGCGGAAGCCUGAUGCAGCAACGCCGCGUGCGGGACGACGGCCUUCGGGUUGUAAACCGCUUUCGCCUGUGACGAAGCGUGAGUGACGGUAAUGGGUAAAGAAGCACCGGCUAACUACGUG
rnacentral:rRNA from 1 species